UACGUAGGGAGCAAGCGUUGUCCGGAAUCAUUGGGCGUAAAGCGCGCGUAGGUGGCCUCAUAAGUCCGCUGUGAAAGUCAAAGGCUCAACCUUUGGAAGCCGGUGGAUACUGUGAGGCUAGAGUACGGAAGAGGCGAGUGGAAUUCCUGGUGUAGCGGUGGAAUGCGCAGAUAUCAGGAGGAACACCAAUAGCGAAGGCAGCUCGCUGGGACGUUACUGACACUGAGGCGCGAAAGCGUGGGGAGCGAACAGG
rnacentral:rRNA from 1 species